rnacentral:lncRNA from 1 species
AUGCGCUAUAAGAGCGCGUUCUCUUUCGGCGGAAGGCUCACCGACGGCAUCGUCUCCGCUGCUACCUCGCCGCCACCGCCCCUUCUCGCUGCUCCCGGUUCGGCGACCCUGCUCCUUUCUGCCGCAGCUUAAUCGCCGCUCUUCCGACUACUGUCACCGCCUCCCGGUAGGGACGCCCCGCCAGGCCGCCGCCGCUCCAGACAACCAGACCGCCGUCGUUUUUGCUGCGGUGGCUGCUCCUUUCCUCCCUUCUGCUCCGGGCCCUUUCCCCGCGAGCCUCCGUGCUUCCCGAGCUCGGUUCUCUCUGUCCCCCCCCAGCAAGCCCCAAGCGGCGGGCGGUUCACGUGGUAACUGAACAGGCCAAAGAGAGGAGGCGCCGCCAAAAUGGCCGCCACCGAGGGCUUCCCCAGCCGGGUCACCAGGCCGGGUGCGCAUGCGCCACGACCUCAUUUCCACCAGCCCUCCCUCUGCUGCUGUUGUCCGUAUAGACUUAAUCGCCCCUACAAGGGAUUUUUCAGUCCAUUUCGUUGCUGUUGCUGAAUCGGAUAGUGAAGAACACAUCACGGUAGACGCGGUUGCCCAUAGGUGGCGCCCUUCUCGCCUAAAACCACAUCUCCUGUGUAUUUUAAUAACCCGCCCGCCAUGCUGUUUGAUUGGUGCGUUUGCCUGUCGCUCCCAAAGCCAAGGAAGCGACCUACUGUACUGUAGAGGGGAAGUGAUUCAAGAUGGCGGUGCCCUUGCAGCUCGUGAGGCGGCGUUUGCUGUUGUCGCGACCUCUGAACCCAACAUUGUCUCGUUCCGCUUUCAUUGUAAGCCAAGAUGA